rnacentral:lncRNA from 1 species
GUCAAGUUCUGGGUAACUGUGUUGCUUAGAUUACCAGCAUACUCCACUGUCCUCACAUGAGUCACUGUGAUGUUUUGGGAGAGUGGUGCCGGACUAAGAAAUAGCUUCCCUCAGAAAUCCAGACUGGGAUCGAAGUAUGAGAACUCUGAGUCACCUCCACAGCCACUCAGAGAGAGGGCUUGAACUUGGGACCUUAUGCUUGCGAGGCAGGUGGCGGAACCACUGAGCUAAAUCCCCGGCUUGGAUGUAAUAUGUAAUGCAAACAUGUACUAAUAAAAAUUAUUAAAUUUAAUUAAAAAGUUACCUAAAUGCAGAGGCAGCAUUGUUAACACUAUGGCACAUCAAUGUCUCCUUACACUUUUUCUUUGUAUUUAUAAUCAUAUUAUUUUUUAAAAUGUUUGAUAUGGAAUUGGAAUUAGAUUUUUCAGUUUUUUAAGUUUGUUUUUCUCUUGUAAUGAUUAACAUUUUCCUUUGUUGCUAUGUAACCAUUCACAGAAAGAACUUUGGAGCUAAACUGUUUGAAUUUGAAUCUUAGCUGUCACAGUAUGACCCUUGGGCCUAUCCUUUAAUGGAAAUAAUUACUUUAGAUUCCUCAUUUGCAAAAGUCCUAGAUAUAAUACUGUGACAAAUGGUGGAAGAAUGAGACCACCUGAAGAGGCUAAUGGAAGGCAAUGAGGCACAGACUUUAUUCACCUGGGUGCAGGUCAACAGAGUGUGACAAAGCCAUUAGCGGUGAACAAAGAAAAGUCAGAGAGUUUUAUAGGGGAAUGGGGAAGGGGUCUGGCACACCUUUCACAUAUAGGAGUCAGAGCAACUAUUUGUGGUCGGGGCCCAUGUGGUGGUCAAGGCAGAUGUAUGGAUGUUAUCAGGUAACUUGGCAUGGGGAAGAUGUUGUACUCUACUUUGUAGUCUUAUCUCUUUUCUAUAACAUCCCAUUUUGUGUUCUGUCUGCACAGCCUGUGUUGGGGAAGAUGGCAUAGCCUAUAACUGUUUUUUUAGCCACCUGUGUUUUUCUGAGGGCUGCAGUUUUUUGUAUCUGCUAAAAUUGUAGCUUGGAAUUAAACAACAUAUUCAUUAACCAGGUAAUGGCCAGAUCAAGCCUGACAAAUGCACUAUCAUUAAGUAUAGUCCUCAUAUUAGGCAUCUUUCCAUUUGUUCACCCUAUGUAUUUGCUACAGUGUAUUCUGUAACUUACAUCUCUCCAUCCCCCCACCCUUGUAUCUACUAUUAUUUCUUAUCAUUAUAUAUUUAACCUGUUUUACUUUAUAUUUUAUAUAUAAAUGACAUGCAAUAUUUUUCUUUCUGUGUCUAGUUUAUUUAUCAUAAAGUCCUCCAGGUCCAUCACGUUGUGCCAAAUGACAGGAUUGCCUCCUUUUUUAAGGACUUAAUGAUAGUCCAUCGUGUUACCAUGUGAUGAAUUUAGCAGGUAUAUUCCAGGCCAUUGUGUGCAAUGAGCAAUGAAUUGCAAGUGCACACUCAACAGAAAGUUGGAAGCAGCUACACUUGAAGAUCACAAGAAGUUGUGCUCAGGCUGCCAUGGAAUGACUCUGGGCCCAGCUACAGGGAAACAUUAGUGGUUACUCAGUGAACAGUUAGUUCCUGGAGCCUCCAUCUUUUCCAAGCUGGUGAAGAUAAAGAUCCUAUUGGAGACUGAAUGGACAGGUAAUCUGCUUUGAGAAAUAAAUUUCUCACCUUACUACAGCCAGAAAUCCUAACUUCAGAUAUGCAAAUUUAAGAUUAAGUAUUGCUUAGGGCUGCAAAAGAAAAAUCAUAACAAUAGUAUAACUUUUUGAAAAUUGAUAAAUAACAAAUCUAAGUUUUUGUUUAAGUGUUUCAUGUGUAUAUAUAUAUGAUAUGCUAUGUCUGCAUGUGUACUUGUGUUUGUAAAUUGCUUGCAAGGUAAUGAAUUAACUUAAAAAUAAAAGAGCAUAAGUAAUUAAACAAAUGUUUAAAACGUAAAGUAUCUUCAGAAUUAUUAAUGUCAUGUCCAGGGGUGUGCAGCACCCUGUUGCUCUGCAGCCAACCAGGAUUGUAAACUUACCACCAGUAACCAAUUAAAGAAUCCAAAUUUAAAUGGGAAAACAAAAAAGCUUUAUCUGUAAGGAAGAAAAGAAGCAGGGGACAAAAUCUACCUUGUGAGGUUAGGGGCCUAGAUCCAGAUACCAAUGGGUCUCUAUCCUCAGCUUCCUUUUAUCAUGUUUUGGGGGAACACUUCCUUCCUGGCUGAUAUCUGGAACUUGUCACAAUAAGAUUUAUCCUCUGGACUGUCUUAGAUGGAUCCCAGUCCCUAGAACCCUAACCCCCUACUCUAUCACCGAUAUGCACAUUCUUAAGUAGGCCUGCUUGUCCUUGUCAGGACCUUAUCUCUGGAAUUUAUGAGUUGAUUAGGCUGAGUUAGUAAGGGGUAUGCAUGUGUAUUUAGUGCAGUAAUACAGUGACCCUAGGGUGGGAAUAGAUAGAUAAAUAGAUAGAUGGAUAUAGAUGUAUAGGUGUGUGUAUUUUUAUAUACUAAAUAAGAGUCUUCUUUUUUUAAGUGGCUACCCCUUGUCUCUUAUACAUUUUAUUGAUGGUUGGGAGGGGCAGCUAACUUGUGCCCCUUGCUUUGUUUAUUAGCUUUUGUUUGCCUUGUUAACUGUUCUCUGUAGUAAAAUUUUUAACUCUUUCUAAUCAGGAUUAGCCAGAAAGCCCAAUGAAGCCCUCAUUUUAUAUUUUUUCCUGCCUACAGAUCCCUUUCCCCUACAGUUAACAUACAUUUUUUCCAUGUGUUAGCCAAUCAGGAUUAUAGUUUAGAUGUUUGAGACCUUUGUGAUAGCCAACCUGACUCCAUUUUGUGCUUCAUCACCAUUCCUCCCAUUUCUCAUAAAGUUGAGUGAUUCCGAGUGGUUGCCUCCCCAACCUCCUUGGGCAUCCCCUCCAUUGUAUCCCAUUUGGUAAGCAGUUGCAACUAUAUGUUAUCUUUACAACCUUGUAAACAGAAUACUCCACAAUUGUGUGAUAUUUUGUUUCAACUAAACUGUGUGAAACUUCCCCUGACCCCCCUCUAACUUAGCAAAGUUUUGCUCCUGUGAAAUUCUGCUUGCACUCCCCCUUUCCCUGAGCCCUCCCCAACUAGAAGAGCUGCUUAAAAGAAACCCACAAGCCACUUUUUGUCAAGAGCUUUCAAGCUCGAGCCACUCCCGAAUGCCAGCAGUAAAAGGACUCAAAUUUGGCUCAGAAUGUUGGUGAUUCUCUAUAAUCUCUUGAAAUUGAAUAUAACACCUUAAGUAUACAACUUUUGAGGUAUUUUUCCCCUUUGGCAAAAGAAAUGGCUUGGAACAUUGACUUGUGUUUGUUUGAUAUCUUAUGUUUUCUAAGCAACUUAGAGGUAACUGUUAAAAAAUUAAAUUAAAAUGUAAGUAAAAUAUCUGAGUUAAAAUACUAGCAACAUUUGCCUAUUAUGAAUUCAGGUAUUCUUGGCUUCUUAAAAUCUAUAAAUAAGAAUGUAUUUGAAUCUAUUAAGUGUAUUUCAUAGAUUGUAUACUCUUCUGAUAGAGGACUAAUCUAGAAUAUAUAAACAACCUUUAAAAAAACCUCAAAAAGCAAAUGAGCCAAUCAAAGAAAGAAUAGGCAAAUGAAAUAAAAAAGAAUAGGCAAAUGAACUGAAUAGACCCUUCUCAAAGGAAGAAGUAUAAAUAGCUAAUACAUACAUGAAAAAUGUUCACUAUCUCUCACCAUUUAAGGAAAUGCAAAUCAAAACAACUAGUCAAAAUGACUACCACAAAGAACACAAAAAACAAUAAAUGCUGAUGAGAAUGCUGGGAAAAAGGAAACUCCUAUAUUUCUGGUGAAAAUGUAAAUGAGUACAACUACUAUGAAAAUCACUGUGGAGAUUCCUCAAAAAACUAAAAAAAGAAAUUCCAUUUUGAGAUAGGAAGUUAGGGCUGGGGGAAACCAAACAACCAACAGGGCAAAAUGUGUCAAAGUUCAUAAAAACCUAUGGCUAAUAGGUUGAGAGAGAUGUUACCUAGAAAGAGAAGACAUGUAGAACAUGGGACCCAAAAUGACCCCAGGCUUAUGGUUCCUGAGUAUUGUACCUGGGACCAAUCAGAAAAUGAUAUUCUCAAACUUUCAUUUAAAUCUAGUGCUAUUGUAAGUCCAAUCAUAAAACAUUAUUCACAGUCCUUCAUUUACAUAUGGGUACAACCAAGCAAAAGACAGUUUCUGAUCCUUCACUUAACAUCUGGUAAGAGGCCGUGAGUUUUUAUUUUGAGAGGGCAAUUGUCUAAAUGACUUAUUUGCAUGAGGUGGAAGCCAAUCCAGGUAUUUUUGAUGCUAAAGACCUCAGUCGCUUCAUCCUUGGGGCUUCUGUGAAACUUUUCUCUGGCCUAUUAUUAACUUGCAGAGUUUAUAUCUUUUUCCACCUUCAAUAACAUUAUAUCCUCAUAGCCUUUUCUAUCUUGUCCAAUUAUUUGUUUGGGACACCAAGGACCUAGAGAGAAGCCCUUGGAUCCCUGUCUGGUAACAGUUAUACCUCUUCUGGGUAUGUUCUUGACAGAGUUAAAGACAUCUACUGUAGUGAUACAUGCAUACCAUGUUUAUAGCAGCACAAUUCACUAUAUCUAAGCUUGGAAAGAGCCUAGAUGCCAUCAAUACAUGCAUGGAUAAAAUUUAUCCAUCAAUUGAUAUCAGAGACUGAUCAAUCCUCUGAUCUGCCUAUAGAGGGGGGCAGCAAGUGCUAAAGAAAGAAAGACAACAGAGAUAUAAUUUCAAAGUACAUAGCAGGGGGUGGAGAUCAGUGCCUGAGUAGGCAAAGACAAAAACACUCCAAGCUAGUCCUUAUUCACUGGGUACACACAAUAAUUGGAGAGAGUGUUACGUGACUCAGAGGGCAGCAACAAUCUUAUGUUGAUGAGGGUCUUGCAUUGAUGAAGACAGUGAGAAGAGCAAAGCAUUUUUACAAUAGUAGGUGGGACAAGAUAGCAGAUUAAUAAGGAAUUUGUCCUUCCCCCAGGUGAAACCUUUCUCUUUUUUUAAUUACUACUCAGUUCUCAAAGAACCAAGAUGUCUUUAGCCGAUAUAAUCUUGGUUUUGAGCAUCUCAGCAUUAUAGGACCAUUGAGGUCUCAGCUUGUGACCAGAGAGGUACACAGAAUUAUAUUUCUGCAUACCAUAGCCAGCUCCAGGCAAGGUGACAUUGGGCCUUAGACAGCCCUAAUCAUAAAUUAUGAAAUGGAUUUUCCCCAAAAUUAUAUAGAGUCACUCUUGACAAAUGGAUAAUUCAACCAUAAAGAAGGAUGAAGUCAUCUCAUUUGCAGGAAAAUGGGUGCAACUUGAGAUCAUCAUGUUAAGUGAAAUUAACUUAGGCACAGAGUGCUAGACAUCAUAUGGUCUCUCUUAUAUGAGAACCCUAAAUCAUAAAUAAAUAAAAGUGUACAAUAAAGGAGAUACAGUAGGAAACAAAAAAGCAGACCUUUUGUGGAAGGAGGUAUGGAAGGAGAUCAGGGAAGGGGAGAGUAAGGUAGGGUAGGGAGGAAGCAAGGGGUCAAAAGUGACCAAGAUAUGCUAAAUACAUGUACCAAUUUCCCAAACUGAAUGAAAGCACUAUGCAUUACAAAAAAAUUACUGAUAAUAAAAAAAGAAAAAAAUUAAGUGGGAGAUAUUGAUAAACAAGAUUAAACAUAUUAAAGUAAAGAGACUAGGAAGAUCCAUUUCUGGUAAGAGUAAUGGCUCUUGUAGUAGGGUUACCGGAUUUAACCAAUAAAACUAUAGAACAUAAGUUAAUUUUGAAUUUUGGAUAAACUACAAAUAAUUGUUAUGCAAUAUAUAGGAUGUGUUUCUACUAAAAAUUACUCCUUUAUUAUCUGAAAUUCAAGUUUAAUUGGACACAUUGCAUUUUAUUUGGAAGUGUAAUCUUAAAUUUUCUGCAUAUAUUUCAUCUUCAGGAUAACAAAGUGA